GUGGCAGAGAUAUACCAUUAACUUUUUAUAGACUCAAUAUAUAUGAGUAGCUCUCAAUUAAUGACCAUUGAUUAAGACUGCUAAACUUACCUUAGACACCAACUGGUUAAUCAGUUUCAAUUGGAUCUACUUAUGGAUUUGGGUUCGACCGCUGAGCUCAAGAUCAAGUCCAUUUGGGUCUAAUCAAAGAUAUGGACUCGACCAACUAUAACUAUUGUAUUGGCUUU
rnacentral:lncRNA from 1 species